UCCCAACGAUCGAGCUGCGAAAAGAACACGCUCUACAAGAUCGCUGCUGCAGCGAUUUGUAACGCUACGGCUGCUCUUCCUAACGCUGGACAAUACGCUUUAUCUUUUGCGAAACAAGACAGCUCUACAAGCGUCCCCAAACUGCUCAAAACAGCCCUGCGAUGAAACUUUCGGCCUGCCUUCUAUUUCUCUUUUCCUGCGUCCAUUACGUUUUCGCCGCACCAGGUGGGAUCUUUAGGUACUGCUACACACCAAACACGCUUCGUGCGUGCAGAGAUCACGCACAAAAUUGGGGUAUCGAUUUCGUGACCCGAGUUUGCAAACUAUUCAAUACUGAUACUUGCAAUUCAACAACCACAAGCAAGUUUGUUUCGGAAAAAAUGUGUCAACUCAUGUGCCUACCACCACCAAGGCGAAAACUCUUGUGCAGCCUCAUACCGAAACCUGGCCCUUGCUCUCAGCGCAAUCUAACGUGGCACUUCGAUGCCCAAACCGGCUUCUGUAAACAUUUUGCAGGCAGCAAAUGUGGAACCAAUGCUAACAGCUUUUCCUCCUGUUAUACGUGUACGAAGAGAUGCAGCAAUCGCAAUGCGGACGCAGUAUGUGUCUUGCCUCAGAUACUGAAACCAAAAUUGAAGUCUAAACAUAAACUGCACGUAGAAAAUGUGCCGGCACGAGCCCCACUUACAGGGCCAGACUAAACGAACUCCAAGACCGAACGCCCUUGGAGCCUGCUAAAUAAUACAAGAAUAAAGGAUUUUAAUGAAAGGAAUAAAGGACCUACCCAGUUUCG